AUCAUAUUUUAUUUUUUAUUUAUAAUUAUUUAUUAUUAUUUUAAAUUUAAUAUUAAUUAAUAGAUAACCUUGCAGCAUGAUUGGCUCCGGCAACGUAGCCAGUGGUGCAACUUGCAAGACUAGAAAAGCAUACGUUACAGGUUAUAUAAUGAAUGAAUACGGUUCUUUGUCAUGUUUUACGAUUCACAAAUACGUAGUCACAUGAAUCUAUAACC
rnacentral:lncRNA from 1 species